rnacentral:rRNA from 1 species
GUUGAACGUUGGCGGCGUGCCUAAUACAUGCAAGUCGAGCGAACAGACGAGGAGCUUGCUCCUCUGACGUUAGCGGCGGACGGGUGAGUAACACGUGGAUAACCUACCUAUAAGACUGGGAUAACUUCGGGAAACCGGAGCUAAUACCGGAUAAUAUAUUGAACCGCAUGGUUCAAUAGUGAAAGACGGUUUUGCUGUCACUUAUAGAUGGAUCCGCGCCGCAUUAGCUAGUUGGUAAGGUAACGGCUUACCAAGGCAACGAUGCGUAGCCGACCUGAGAGGGUGAUCGGCCACACUGGAACUGAGACACGGUCCAGACUCCUACGGGAGGCAGCAGUAGGGAAUCUUCCGCAAUGGGCGAAAGCCUGACGGAGCAACGCCGCGUGAGUGAUGAAGGUCUUCGGAUCGUAAAACUCUGUUAUUAGGGAAGAACAAAUGUGUAAGUAACUAUGCACGUCUUGACGGUACCUAAUCAGAAAGCCACGGCUAACUACGUG